rnacentral:rRNA from 1 species
UGCCAGACUCCUACGGGAGGCAGCAGUGGGGAAUAUUGCACAAUGGGGGGAACCCUGAUGCAGCGACGCCGCGUGAGUGAAGAAGUAUUUCGGUAUGUAAAGCUCUAUCAGCAGGGAAGAAGAUGACGGUACCUGACUAAGAAGCCCCGGCUAACUACGUGCCAGCAGCCGCGGUAAUACGUAGGGGGCAAGCGUUAUCCGGAUUUACUGGGUGUAAAGGGAGCGUAGACGGCAGCACAAGUCUGGAGUGAAAUGCCGGGGCUUAACCCCGGAACUGCUUUGGAAACUGUGCAGCUAGAGUGCAGGAGAGGUAAGUGGAAUUCCUAGUGUAGCGGUGAAAUGCGUAGAUAUUAGGAGGAACACCAGUGGCGAAGGCGGCUUACUGGACUGUAACUGACGUUGAGGCUCGAAAGCAUGGGUAGCGAACAGGAUUAGAUACCCCAGUAUUG